UACAGAGGUCCCAAGCGUUGUUCGGAUUUACUGGGCGUAAAGGGUGCGUAGGUGGUGAGGUAAGUCUGAUGUGAAAUCUCCGAGCUUAACUCGGAAAUGGCAUUGGAAACUACCUUGCUAGAGGGUUGGAGGGGGGGACUGGAAUACUUGGUGUAGCAGUGAAAUGCGUAGAUAUCAAGUGGAACACCAGUGGCGAAGGCGAGUCCCUGGACAACUCCUGACACUGAGGCACGAAAGCUAGGGGAGCAAACAGG
rnacentral:rRNA from 1 species